AUAUAUUUAUGAUGAUCAAUAUAAUUCACCCCUAUAUAGGGUUUCAUAGUGGACAUGGUACUAUACCAAUCCUACAAUGGAAAACCAUGCAUUGAUGUUGUUUUGGAGCUUCAGUUUUUCAAUCGUUCAACACCAACGAAGGGAUUUGCUUAUUCGGUAACAAUUAUUUGCAUUGUUUUGUUUCUUCUUCGCUGCUAUUUUAGCAAUUGGUUCAAUGAAACUGUGGAUGGUUAAAUAUACAUUCAUUGCAAUCUAUUUAUUCUUGGUUCAUGUUUGCCAAGAAGAUCCAACUAUAUUUUAUGUCGGUAAUAAUAAUGGUUUAGUAUUGACUUUCAAGAAAUACCAUUUUGAUGAUAUGACUUAUGAGUA